rnacentral:rRNA from 1 species
GACGAACGCUGGCGGCGUGCUUAACACAUGCAAGUCGAACGGAAAGGCCCUGCUUUUGUGGGGGGCUCGAGUGGCGCGCGGGUGUGUAACACGUGAGUAACCUGCCCUUGACUUUGGGAUAACUUCAGGAAACUGGGGCUAAUACCGGAUAGGAGCUCCUGCUGCGUGGUGGGGGGUGGAGAGUUUCGGCGGUUGGGGAUGGACUCGCGGCUUAUCAGCUUGUUGGUGGGGUAGUGGCUUACCAAGGCUUUGACGGGUAGCCGGCCUGAGAGGGUGACCGGCAACAUUGGGACUGGGAUAGGGCCCAGACUCCUACGGGAGGCAGCAGUGGGGAAUAUUGCACAAGGGGCGGAAGCCGGAUGAAGCAACGCCGCGUGCGGGAUGACGGCCUUCGGGUGGUAAACCGCUUUCGCCUGUGACGAAGCGUGAGUGACGGUAAUGGGUAAAGAAGCACCGGCUAACUACGUG